rnacentral:rRNA from 1 species
UUCGCCCUUAGAGUUUGAUCCUGGCUCAGGAUGAACGCUGGCGGCGUGCUUAACACAUGCAAGUCGAACGAAGCGCGCGGAAGGAAGGCCUUCGGGCCGGAGAGCCGCGGGACUGAGUGGCGGACGGGUGAGUAACGCGUGGGCAACCUGCCCCGUACAGGGGGAUAACAGCCGGAAACGGCUGCUAAUACCGCAUAAGCGCACAGCGCCGCAUGGCGCGGUGUGAAAAGCUCCGGCGGUACGGGAGGGGCCCGCGUCUGAUUAGGCAGUUGGCGGGGCAGCGGCCCACCAAACCGACGAUCAGUAGCCGGCCUGAGAGGGCGGCCGGCCACAUUGGGACUGAGACACGACCCAAACUCCUGCGGGAGGCAGCAGUGGGGAAUAUUGGACAAUGGGGGGAACCCUGAUCCAGCGACGCCGCGUGAGUGAAGAAGUAUUUCGGUAUGUAAAGCUCUAUCAGCAGGGAAGAAAGAAAUGACGGUACCUGACUAAGAAGCCCCGGCUAACUACGUGCCAGCAGCCGCGGUAAUACGUAGGGGGCAAGCGUUAUCCGGAUUUACUGGGUGUAAAGGGAGCGUAGACGGCAGUGCAAGUCUGAAGUGAAAGGCGGGGGCCCAACCCCCGGACUGCUUUGGAAACUGUGCUGCUGGAGUGCAGGAGAGGCAAGUGGAAUUCCUAGUGUAGCGGUGAAAUGCGUAGAUAUUAGGAGGAACACCAGUGGCGAAGGCGGCUUGCUGGACUGUAACUGACGUUGAGGCUCGAAAGCGUGGGGAGCAAACAGGAUUAGAUACCCUGGUAGUCCACGCCGUAAACGAUGAUCACUAGGUGUCGGUGGGUAUGGACCCAUCUUUGCCGCAGCAAACACACUAAGUAUUUCCCCCUGCGGAGUAGCGUUCGCAUGAAUGAAGGUCAAAGGAAUGGACGGGGACCCGCACACGCGGCCGAGCACGUGGUUUAAUUCUAAGCAACGCGAAGAACCUUACCAGUUCUUGACAUCCCAAUGAAUAAAGGGUAAAGCCUUUAGCCCUUCGGGGCAUCGGAGACAGGUGGUGCAUGGUUGUCGUCAGCUCGUGUCGUGAGAUGUUGGGUUAAGUCCCGCAACGAGCGCAACCCCUGUCCUUAGUAGCCAGCAUGAAAAGAUGGGCACUCUAGGGAGACAGCCGGGGACAACCCGGAGGAAGGCGGGGAUGACGUCAAAUCAUCAUGCCCCUUAUGGACUGGGCUACACACGUGCUACAAUGGCGCCUACAAAGUGAAGCGAGCGUGAGAGCGUAAGCAAAACACAAAAAAGGCGUCCCAGUUCGGAUUGUAGUCUGCAACUCGACUACAUGAAGCUGGAAUCGCUAGUAAUCGCGGAUCAGAAUGCCGCGGUGAAUACGUUCCCAGGUCUUGCACACACCGCCCGUCA